rnacentral:rRNA from 2 species
AUCCUCCAAGGCUAAAUACUCCUGAUUGACCGAUAGUGAACCAGUACCGUGAGGGAAAGGCGAAAAGAACCCCGGCGAGGGGAGUGAAAAAGAACCUGAAACCGUGUACGUACAAGCAGUAGGAGCCUCUUUAUGGGGUGACUGCGUACCUUUUGUAUAAUGGGUCAGCGACUUAUAUUCUGUAGCAAGGUUAACCGUAUAGGGGAGCCGUAGGGAAACCGAGUCUUAACUGGGCGAAUGAGUUGCAGGGUAUAGACCCGAAACCCGGUGAUCUAUCCAUGGGCAGGUUGAAGGUUGGGUAACACUAACUGGAGGACCGAACCGA